CAGUAGCCGCGGGAAUACGUAGGGUGCGAGCGUUAAUCGGAAUUACUGGGCGUAAAGCGUGCGCAGGCGGUUCGUUAAGACAGAUGUGAAAUCCCCGGGCUUAACCUGGGAACUGCAUUCGUGACUGGCGAGCUAGAGUAUGGCAGAGGGGGGUAGAAUUCCACGUGUAGCAGUGAAAUGCGUAGAGAUGUGGAGGAAUACCGAUGGCGAAGGCAGCCCCCUGGGCCAAUACUGACGCUCAUGCACGAAAGCGUGGGGAGCAAACAGGAUUAGAUACCCCCGUAGUCCCUGUCUCUUAUAC
rnacentral:rRNA from 1 species